rnacentral:rRNA from 1 species
UACGUAGGGCGCAAGCGUUGUCCGGAAUUAUUGGGCGUAAAGAGCUCGUAGGCGGUCUGUCGCGUCGGAUGUGAAAUCCCCAGCUUAACCUGGGAACUGCAUCCGAUACUGGAUGGCUUGAGUUCGGGAGAGGGAUGCGGAAUUCCAGGUGUAGCGGUGAAAUGCGUAGAUAUCUGGAGGAACACCGGUGGCGAAGGCGGCAUCCUGGACCGACACUGACGCUGAGGAGCGGAAAGCCAGGGGAGGCAAACAGGG